rnacentral:ncRNA from 1 species
UCGUGACUGCGUGCCUUUUGAAGAAUGAGCCUGCGAGUUUGCGGUGUGUUGCGAGGUUAACCCGUGUGGGGAAGCCGUAGCGAAAGCGAGUCCGAAUAGGGCGAUUUAGUAGCGCGCUCAAGACCCGAAGCGGAGUGAUCUAGCCAUGGGCAGGUUGAAGCGGCUGUAAGAGGUCGUGGAGGACCGAACCCACCAGGGUUGAAAACCUGGGGGAUGACCUGUGGUUAGGGGUGAAAGGCCAAUCAAACUCCGUGAUAGCUGGUUCUCCCCGAAAUGCAUUUAGGUGCAGCGUCGUGUGUUUCUUGCCGGAGGUAGAGCACUGGAUAGGCGAUGGGCCCUACCGGGUUACUGACCUUAGCCAAACUCCGAAUGCCGGUAAGUGAGAGCGCGGCAGUGAGACUGUGGGGGAUAAGCUCCAUGGUCGAGAGGGAAACAGCCCAGAGCAUCGACUAAGGCCCCUAAGCGUACGCUAAGUGGGAAAGGAUGUGGAGUCGCAGAGACAACCAGGAGGUUGGCUUAGAAGCAGCCACCCUUGAAAGAGUGCGUAAUAGCUCACUGGUCUAGUGAUUCCGCGCCGACAAUGUAGCGGGGCUCAAGCGUACCGCCGAAGUCGUGUCAUUGCAGCAAUACGCCCAACGGCGGCUGUGAUGGGUAGGGGAGCGUCGUGUGCCGGGUGAAGCCGCGCCGGAAGGCAGUGGUGGACGGUUCACGAGUGAGAAUGCAGGCAUGAGUAGCGAUACACACGUGAGAAACGUGUGCGCCGAUUGACUAAGGGUUCCUGGGUCAAGCUGAUCUGCCCAGGGUAAGUCGGGACCUAAGGCGAGGCCGACAGGCGUAGUCGAUGGAUAACCGGUUGAUAUUCCGGUACCCGCUGUGAAGCGUCAAACAUUGAACCAGGCGAUGCUAAGUCCGUGAAGCCGCCCCGGAGCCUUCGGGCAAAGGGGAGUGGUGGAGCCGACGGACCAGACCUGCAGUAGGUGAGUGAUGGGGUGACGCAGGAAGGUAGUCCAUCCCGGGCGGUGGUUGUCCCGGGGUAAGGGUGUAGG